UACGUGAGCCCCGAGCGUUGUCCGGAAUCACUGGGCGUAAAGCGUCUGCAGGCGGUUAUGUUAGUCGUGUGUUAAAUAUACGGGCUCAACCCGUAUGCCGCGCACGAAACGGCAUGACUAGAGGGUGUGAGAGGUGAGUGGAACUUACGGUGUAGGGGUGGAAUCCGUUGAUAUCGUAGGGAACACCAAAGGCGAAGGCAGCUCACUGGCACAACCCUGACGCUCAGAGACGAAAGUGUGGGUAGCGAAUGGG
rnacentral:misc_RNA from 1 species